AUGGCAGGAGCCCGGGCCAGGUUGUCACCGCGGAGGCAGCUGCGGGGACUGCGGGGAGGGCGGGCGUGGAGAAGGCCGGAGGACCCUCCGAGCUCGAGCCGCCCUGGUCCCCCCACGCGGCCGAGGGUCUCCCGGGUGGACCGCGCCCCGACGCUCCUGCCUCUGCGUCCUGGACUGCGCAGGCCGGGCAGCGUGUCCGCGCUGAGGGAGCCGGAGCGGAUUUCCGCCGGGUUUCCCUCCCUGGCUGCAGGAAUCCGCCGGAGACCGAGGCGACGCCCCGCUGGGUUUUCUCAGCAGGUGAGACUGGCUCAUCGCUACCUUCUAACCCAGGUGUAGAUUUUCUCCUACCUGCAUUUACCUACCUCCUCCCUGGUUUCUGGCCCUGCUGCUCUUCCUUCAGCUGUCCCUCUGCCACGGACCACCAGAGAGAACCUGGAGUCUGAGGCCAGAAGAGGGGGAAUUAUGAUUCCCCUUCAUGCCAAAUUCCUGCCCUUACAAUCUCAAGACUUUCAUCCGGAGAAAGUUGGAAUGAUGCUUAUCAGGUAGCCAGCAACUCUGUAACUCCACAAGAGUCUAACGUGGAAAACAUCAUUUCUCAGUCGUUAAGCAAGCACAUUUUUCACCCAUGGUUGGCAGGUCAAUAGUAUCCCAGACCCGGAGAGUCAACAAACAGAAGCCGAGGUCACAAGGAUCUCGUUCACGUGGCUGAACGGACAGAUGAAAGAGCUCAAAUGAAGG
rnacentral:lncRNA from 1 species